UAUGAUUUUGUAAUCUUUUCCACAGGCCUUCCUUCGUCAUCACUGAUUGGUGUCUGGGACUGAGUUAUCCCUCAUCUCAGUUCAGGGGCCAUUGUCUAUCGAAAAAAGACCUUUACCUUUUAUUAUUGCUUUAAAACCCGUGUCUCCGCAUCUGUUCUCCAGUUUUUUUAGAACCUGGCCAAAACUGCACCAUCACAGCCCGGGCCUGGAUGAACAGGGAAGACAAAAUCAGGUAAAGCAAUUUUAUUAUCCAAGGAGAGUCUGUAAUCUCUUUAAAUAUUUAUCUUUAAAUCAACUUUAGGAAGGUAUAACUCAUUUAUUUUUUUUUAUUUUUGUGUUUAUUAGUACAUAUUUACCAUACAUAAUGAUAUGUCCUUGUUGAGAGUUGGUCCAUGUACAUAACGCAUCUUCAUUCUUUUUUCAUUCCCCUUCCCUCUCCUCCCUC
rnacentral:lncRNA from 1 species